rnacentral:rRNA from 1 species
AUUGAACGCUGGCGGCAGGCCUAACACAUGCAAGUCGAACGGUAACAGGAAGAAGCUUGCUUCUUUGCUGACGAGUGGCGGACGGGUGAGUAAUGUCUGGGAAACUGCCUGAUGGAGGGGGAUAACUACUGGAAACGGUAGCUAAUACCGCAUAACGUCGCAAGACCAAAGAGGGGGACCUUCGGGCCUCUUGCCAUCGGAUGUGCCCAGAUGGGAUUAGCUAGUAGGUGGGGUAACGGCUCACCUAGGCGACGAUCCCUAUCUGGUCUGAGAGGAUGACCAGCCACACUGGAACUGAGACACGGUCCAGACUCCUACGGGAGGCAGCAGUGGGGAAUAUUGCACAAUGGGCGCAAGCCUGAUGCAGCCAUGCCGCGUGUAUGAAGAAGGCCUUCGGGUUGUAAAGUACUUUCAGCGGGGAGGAAGGGAGUAAAGUUAAUACCUUUGCUCAUUGACGUUACCCGCAGAAGAAGCACCGGCUAACUCCGUG